UUUUCCAGGGGAAAGAGAAUUGAAAAUCUCUGUGAAAAUCUGAAGGGGAUGCAAAUUUUCAUUUAUAAUAUAAUAAUGGAAGAUUACUACCACUUGUUAUCUACUUAUAACACAAUAUAUAAAGGGGAAAGAGAAUUGGAAAUUUCUGUGAAAAUCUGAAGGGGAUGCAAAUUUAUAAUAUAAUAAUGGAAGAUUACUACCACUUGUUAUCUACUUAUAACACAAUAUAUAAAGGGGAAAGAGAAUUGAAAAUCUCUG